rnacentral:rRNA from 1 species
UACGGAGGGUGCGAGCGUUGUCCGGAAUCACUGGGCGUAAAGGGCGCGUAGGCGGCGCGGGCAGUCAACGGUGAAAGCUCAGGGCUCAACUCUGAGUCGGCCGUCGAUACUCCCGCGCUCGAGCUCACUAGAGGCAGAUGGAAUUCCGGGUGUAGCGGUGGAAUGCGUAGAGAUCCGGAAGAACACCGGUGGCGAAGGCGGUCUGCUGGGGUGAGGCUGACGCUGAGGCGCGACAGCGUGGGGAGCAAACAGG